GAACAAAAGAAAUACACACAGGUGUGUUAAGACACUGAUCUUCGGCGACCGAAACCUCCCAGGGUGGCACUGGCUCCUCGUCACCUAUGGAAAUCUGCGGGUGAAAAUGAGGGAGGCAGCUCCUCAAGGCUGGGAAAGUUGUAAAGCAAGGGAAAAGGAAAAGAAAGAGGUGGGGGGAAGAGAGAAGGUUCUGUGCAAGGGAAGGAGUUAUUCCAAGUGGAGACAGCUCCUCCUUGGCAAAUGGCAGCACCCAAGCCAGGUUCUUGCUUUGAAUCUUCUCUCAACUCCACACUGCUGCAGUUGUGAUCAGCCAGGCUUUGCUCUGCAGCUCCAGGGGAUGCACUUUGGAACUCCCAGCUUCCCAAAUCCAGGAUUCUCUGCUGGAAAUGUCCCAGACACAGAUGAUUUUCCAUGUGAAAUCCUCUCUCCCCUCCAGCUCCGAGGCCUUUUCCCACUGCCACCUGUUAGGAGUGCUCAUGGAAGACAAUGGAAAGAUGCCCAUGGAUAGAUUUUAAAUUAACUUGAGCUGACUUUGUACCCUGCAUGUGAAUUACACAUUGGAGCUUCUGCUGUGGUUAAAGUUUUCAGGAUUUUGCAUUUCAGUGAUGCCUGUCACAAGAGUAGGUGCUGGGGCCUCACCCUGUCAACUCUCUGUCACAUCAACCUUUGCACCUAACAGGUGCAGGAUGAGCCUCUCUCUUUGCUUCAUGCCAGCAUUUAUAGUUCUAGUCAAACCUAUCUUGGGAAAAGAAAUCUGCCAGUGG